rnacentral:lncRNA from 1 species
UUCAUCCUCUUCUCUCUUUUUCUAGUUCUCUUCCUCUCCCUCACGCUUCUCCCCAGCGCCGCCGCUCACACUGCCGCUCCUCCUCACGCCGGCCGCUGCUCCCUGCCUCCGGCAGCCGCCCCGCAGCCGCUGCCGGCCUGAAUCGGUUCCGUGGCUCCUCAUGAGUCUACCCCCCAAGCUAACCGUAGCCAUCAACCCCUCACCAGUCUCCAAUCGAUUCUGCUGCUGGCUACUGCUCUCAAUGACUGAGAUUGAAAUUUCCCAACCCCAGCGCCCCUGAUUCAAGCGUGGCUCAGACCAGCCGUCUCUCCCUCCCCGAGCUCCUCCUCUCUGAUCCCCUUCUAUCCCUACUUCUGUGACGUGAUCUGAUUGGUUGUUCUCUUAGGUGGUAAUCUACGAUGAAUUUUUAUACUUGUGAACAGGUUCUAAUAACCAACUGGAUGGUGCUAUUCCUGCUAUCUGUAGGUUCUAUAUUAUUUGAUUUGCUAUAAUUGGAUGAUGACUAUAUGCUAUGGAUGAAUGAGUGAAUGCAUGCUCAAAUGAAUCAAGUAUGCGCAUUUUUUUUAGUACUGAUAUUGAAAUCACAAAAACAGGAUUGGUCCUUUUUUAUUCUUAUGCAAUGGUAAUCAAGAUACUGAAUUUUCUACAUGCCACUAUACUAGCACAAUCAGAUCCUUAUAUCCUUAUGCUGAGUAGUAAUUCAGAGAAUUAAUUUGAAUUCCUGCAUACCAAAUGCAUCAUAGUAAUAUGACUAAAAUGAUCACAUGACCUAAAAACUAUGCAUCUUGAUUUUGUUGUCAAAUAUACUGACUACUAAAAUAACUGGUAAUUAAUUGUGUUCUAUGUUAUUGGUCUUAGCAAAGUUAUGCUGAUCAACUACUAAGGUUCAGAUCCUAAUGUUAUGCUCUUCUAGGACUUAUGAUUAGGACUCAUAGAUUUCUGUUUAUGGAUCUACAUUUAUACUAAAGAUGUACUUGUACACUUGCUAUUCAUCCAAUCCUACAGAUUCGGUAUUACUAUAUGAAGAACUAAAUACAUUGGUGAGUUUUGAGACUGCUAGUCUGCUAGUAUUUCUCACUGUGGCAUACGAUUUAUAUUGAUUAAUACUUACAGAACUAAUGUAUGUCAUGCUUUAAUCUAGAAUCAUAUGCUCUAGAUGCUCUGCUAUAGAGACUUAUAACCCUACUCAUUAAUUCUAACUAUUUAUAAUUUCAGGAUUCACCAAAGAGAUGCAUGUGCAGCUGUUUACCUAAAUGCAUUUACGUAAUAAUUCUAGACAAACUAAAAUGUUUCUUGUUACUAACCCCAAAUAAUUAUAAACUAGAAUUAACCUAUAUUUACUUUUCAGUUAAAUAAAAAUAUUUAUGUCCUACUAGUUGCACUUCCUACUCUGCAGCUCAAAUUACUUAAUAUUCUUGUUCAUCUUCUAAUGGAUGCAAAUGCAACUCACAACUCCUACACAUACUAGUAUAUGCAUCACUCAAGAAUCAUGUCAUGAUAUGAUUGUACUUUCAGUUUAAUCUCUUGAUUACCUGCCAUGAUUUUAGGUGACAAUUAUAUGGUUCCCUUCUCUGGUUCUGCAGCUACUCUUCUGGACUCUGAUUCAAUGGUUCUCCCGAUGGAACUGUGAUUUCUCCUCUUUGAGCUGAAGCACCACCUGCUCCUCCAGAAACUGAAACCCCUCUCUUCUUGAAGCUCAGGUACCUCCUACUUGAUUUGCACCCUUGCUACCGAUUUCUUUGAUUUCUUGUUCUUGCUGAUUUUACCUCCUGAUCCAAUUUACAACAGUUGCCUCUUCUCUUCCUUUCUUCUUGUCCUGCUUCUGCUGUUACUGAUCCAUCUUGUUUCUUGAGCUGGAGUGCCAUCUCCUCCUAGAGCUAAAAUCCCUGUUCAUGCAGGACUGAACACCUCUACUUCAUCCAAGAACUAAAUACCUUUGCUUCUCCUUCUUCAGAUUUGGUUUCUCUCUCUCUCUUUCUUGUUGUUUCCCUGUGGAUAAUAGGAAUGAGAUACGGUGUAAUUGUGUUGCUGGCUACUAAGCUACUGCUCUGCUAUUUUUCUCUGUUUUGAGCUGGUUUUACAACCGAACUGCUGGCUGCUACUACUGCUGCGGCUGAGGAUGCUGCUUGGGGUUGUUUUCCAGCCGAUGCAACCGAGACUGAUUCACAGAUAGCUGGUUAAUAUAUGUGUGAAUUUUUUUUGUGAAGGCUGGGUGACUCACCUACUUUAGUUUUGGUGGUUGUUUCACUGACUGACACCUAAGCAGUGUUUGAUCGGUGGUGUAAUGUGGGAUUUCACUAAAUUUUUCUAUUUAGAUAAAUUCUGAUACAAUUAGGUACUUUUGCACUUGAGUCCCUCGGGGUCUCUAAAAUUGAAGGUUACUCUGAGAUUAGGGACUAAUUUAUAAUUGUUCUAGAACUCAUAGUCAUUUUUGCAAGGUUACCAAUUCUCCAUAUAUUUUUGGUAGAUAAAUUUAUGCUUCUAUAUGAUGUAGCCGUGCAUCUAUUUGCUUGCUGGGAUUAAAAUGAUUUGCUCUAGUUUUAUUUUCAAUUUCACAAUUCCUCUAUUGAUUUGUAUAUAAUAGUUAUGAGUUGAGUAUGUUACAGGGCAUAUGCAAAACAUAAUAUGGAUGUAUGCAUGCAUGUAUGCAGAUAUGUGUAUCUCUCGCUGACUACUAAUGUGCG